GACGAACGCUGGCGGCAGGCUUAACACAUGCAAGUCGAGCGAGCGGCGGACGGGUGAGUAAUGUCUGGGAAACUGCCUGAUGGAGGGGGAUAACUACUGGAAACGGUAGCUAAUACCGCAUACCAUCAGAUGUGCCCAGAUGGGAUUAGCUAGUAGGUGGGGUAAUGGCUCACCUAGGCGACGAUCCCUAGCUGGUCUGAGAGGAUGACCAGCCACACUGGAACUGAGACACGGUCCAGACUCCUACGGGAGGCAGCAGUGGGGAAUUUUGGACAAUGGGGGCAACCCUGAUCCAGCCAUGCCGCGUGCAGGAUGAAGGUCUUCGGAUUGUAAACUGCUUUUGUCAGGGAAGCGGUACCUGAAGAAUAAGCACCGGCUAACUACGUGCCAGCAGCCGCGGUAAUAC
rnacentral:rRNA from 1 species